CAUAAUAAGAGAAUUUCAAGAGAACAUUUAAACUUUAAUAAAUGAUUCGAAAGAGAACAUUUAAACCCCCUAAAAGCAACAGGAUCGCAUCCAGGUUACAGUAUUGAAAUUAGAAUCUACCACUAUUAUUACACAACAUCUCUUACCAAAUCAGAUCAUCUUCGAUAAGAAGAAUCACUGUCAACUAUUCCAGCUAUGACUUACACUUGAAUCCCUAUAGCACAGCUCUAGCUUGCACCAACCUCAUCAACUUUCCUGAACACUCCUCGACCACUGGAUCCUCAACUCUGUCUCCUCGCCUAGCAUUAGCCUUAUCCACAAUCUCAAUCAAUCAUCUCAUCUUUUAGCCUUUCUGAAAUGGUUAGAAAGGAAUAGCAAGGGUGAGCAACAAUGCUCAGCAAGUAAUAAUAAACAAUGAUAGUUCUGAAAUGAUAUAACAGAAGAUCACGAGUUCAAGAUAUAAGAGGAUUCAACCUGAGUUCAUGAGUUUCAUGGUAUUGUAUAGAAUGAUUUACAAUACCUUGCAGCAUUUAACUUGAGAAAUUCAAUCUUUCCAAAGAAUUAUUGAAUUGGACUAUCACAUUUUAAUUAAAACCAAGGUUAGGCAGCUGAUCAGUUCCGCACUAACCCCGAGCAGGCCCCGCCAUGCUCUAUCACUGGAUCCAAGGCACUCAUUGGCCUAACAUGACCACGAAUCUGGUCCACAGGUUUAUAUAAAAACAAUAAUCCAAUUCUAUAAUUCAAUAACAGGUCAACGUAUAACAACAGAACAUAAACACAAUCAAUAUCAAUGAUAGAAUAAUUCCAAAUCAAACUUUGAUAAUCAACUUUUCAUAAACCAGAGUCCAUCCUUUCAUAAAUCAUAGUUCAGGAAAUCCUUAACUAUUCAGUAUCCUCCAUUAUCGGCUAAGCAACUGAAUUUAGCCUGCUAAACCAGCAUGACAAUGGCGGGUUGAAUAAUCAAGAAGAUCCCAAGUCAUUCUAGGUUCUAAUCAUCACUGAGCAACACAUGCUUCAAUGACAAUCUGAACUUCGAAUUAAUUUGUAAAACUGGAAUUAUCUGAAUUUUUGAGGAUUAGAAAAGGAUGGAUAAAAAUAUUUGCACUUGCCAAAUAUGAAAAAGAGAGGAACGAAUAUUUGCAACACAUACGAAAAGAAUGAAUCAGAAUAAUCGCAAGAUAUCCAAAAGAAGGGUAUAGGAUACUUGCCUUAAAUCUGACUCCAGUUUCAUAGCUCAACCUCAUCUUUCCACUUUCACAAUCUAUCCAUCUCAUAAUCUCUAGACCAUCUCUAGCUAUACUCUAUUCGCCACAUCGCUUCGCUUACUCGAUUCAUCCCUUAUUCGCUUUUCAAUACCAUUCCGACUUUCUGACGUCUUCGAGCGUAUACGUCUCCUCCAAAUCCUUUACGAGAAUAAGAUAAUACUAUAGUCACUAAAUAAUAUAUCGCAUAUACAUAUCACGUAUACCGAUACCCACUUAUACAACCCUUUAAACUCAUCAAAUAUCACUUAACACAUAAUCAUGCUUUGACUCUACCAUAUAGUCCAAUCAUAUUCCACAUAACAUAUUAUCAAUUAAAUAUCAUAUAAAUCUUAUCGAAAAUCCGACAUCGUCUCGUCUAUUUAUAAGACUAUCCACCUGUUAUCCUAUUUUGUCCAACAACCAAUCAACCAAUUCCAAUUCCUAUAAUCCAUAUGUCCUUAUCCAAUAUUAAUCAAAUCAUGACACUAUGUCAUAUAAGUCAUUUAUCACGUAUAUAAUAUCAGGAAUAGACAUAUAUAUCACGUAAUCAUCAAUUAAUAACAAUCCAAUAACAUAUAAUCACAUUCAGCACAUUUAACAACAAUUAUUCACAUUCUCGACUCCAUCAUAUUAUUAUGUCAUAUCAAACUAGACUUUAUAAGCUUUCAUCUCUCUUUCGUUUCACUUGAUUCCGACUUACGGAUCAAAAGUUAUGACCAAAACCGUUUUCUGACUCCGCUCUCAACAUAUAAUACCUUACACCGAUAGCAGUCAACACAUUACACAUUAAGUCUCCCAUCCCAAUUGAUGUCAAGUCAAGUCUGGGGUUAAAAAAGAUUUUUCGGGAAUUUUCCAGAAUUUUUAAACAUUUUUCGGAAUUAAAACGGAUAAAAGAAUCACUUUUUGAAUAAAUAAUCAAGUCCGGAUAUUCGAAAUUGGACUUGAAAUCAUUCAUAAACAAUUGUCGAGCCUUGAAAAUAAUUUGGAAAAAUAUUUUAAAGCUCGAAACUAUUUUUCGGAAUUUUUAAAUCAAAAAGGAUUAAUUAAAUCCAAUUAAUUAAUCAAUUAAAAUCAAUUAAUAAUUAAUUAAAAUAAUUAAUCAAUUAAUAUUUAAAUUAAUUGACCAAUUAAAAUAAUUAAUUACUAAUUAAAAUUAAUUAAUAAAUCAAAUUAGAUUUAUUUUUGAAUAAAGAAAUAAUUAAAAACUAUUUUUGAAAUUUAAAAUAAUUAAAUAAAACAAUUUUUGAAAAUUAAAAUUAAAAAGGUUUAAAGUGUCAAUGUUUAAAACUUUGUCGCAAGGUUUAAACUGCAACUUUUCAAAGUUACAGGGUUUGAAUCGUUAAAACCGAAACUAUAGUACCCAACCUUCACCAUCUUCAAAAGAUGGGUGGCCAAACGGAAAUUUUCCGCCGGCCACCACCCAACUCGCCGGAAACGACCAUACGAGCCACCACCUUCAUCCAAACUCUCCAGAAUUAAAGUAUAUACAUCCAUAAACUCGUACAAACAAUCACUUUCACCAAACCACACUUGUUUUAGCCGGAUUUUGUCCGGAAAGAGGGGCCGUCGUCGAGUUCUUCAAGAACUCCGGCGAACCCGACCCACGAAUCCCACAUACAAUUUGAACACUGAAAUCGAUUCCUUGCAACCCCUAGAACAUGCCAAUACCCUUCAAUUUUACCCAGACUUCCCCGAUUAAAAAGCCCCAAAAUCGAAUUGAAACAUUCAAGAACACUCAAGAACACCCCUCAAGAAUCAAACCCACUUUUCUAGGUGUUAUGGAACUCAAAAAUCAACAUAUAAUAUACCAAAACGACGAGAAAAACACGUUCUACAACAUGGAAUCAUCCAAACAAUCAAACAAACACGUUUACAAAAAUUCAUCAUUUAAAUCAUAUAAAUUCGAAUUUUGAAAAAUAAAUAUAAAAUCACCUGACAAAUCUGCACAUAAACGGAUGAUUGUACUAGAUUCUACGCGUCGAUAGCUUCGUUUUGACUAUUCAUACGCCUCCAUCGGAUUCAAAUAACACCUUCAAAACCUUGUUUGAUUACGAAGAACACGAAG
rnacentral:lncRNA from 1 species